CCGGUUGAUCUAUCCAUGGCCAGGUUGAAGGUGGGGUAACACCCACUGGAGGACCGAACCCACGCCCGUUGAAAAGGUCGGGGAUGAGCUGUGGAUAGGGGUGAAAGGCUAAACAAAACCGGAGAUAGCUGGUUCUCCUCGAAAACUAUUGAGGUAGUGCGUCGCGUAUUACCUUCGGGGGUAGAGCACUGUUAUGGCUAGGGGGCCGCUAUAGGCUUACCAAACCAUGGCAAACUCCGAAUACCGAAGAGUACAAGCGCGGCAGACAGUCCCCGGGUGCUAACGUCCAGGGACAAGAGGGAAACAACCCAGACCGCCAGCUAAGGUCCCCAAUAUUGGCUAAGUGGAAAACGAGGUGGGAAGGCACAGACAGUCAGGAGGUUGGCUUAGAAGCAGCCAUCCUUUAAAGAAAGCGUAAUAGCUCACUGAUCGAGUCGUCCUGCGCGGAAGAUGUAACGGGGCUCAAGCCAAUAACCGAAGCUGCGGAUCCAUGGAGCAAUCCAUGGGUGGUAGAGGAGCGUUCCGUAAGCCUGCGAAGGUGUUCCGUAAGGAAUGCUGGAGGUAUCGGAAGUGCGAAUGCUGACAUGAGUAGCGAUAAAGCGGGUGAAAGGCCCGCUCGCCGAAAGCCCAAGGUUUCCUGCGCAACGUUCAUCGGCGCAGGGUGAGUCGGCCCCUAAGGCGAGGCGGAGACGCGUAGCUGAUGGGAAUCCGGUCAAUAUUCCGGAACCGCCGACGGGUGCGAUGUGGGGACGAAGAAGGCUAUGCAGACCGGGUGUUGGACGUCCCGGUGAAGCGUGUAGGUGGAUCCCUUAGGCAAAUCCGGGGGGUCAACACCGAGGCGCGGGACCAGGAGGGCUUGCCCUCCGAAGCUGCAGAUGCCCUGCU
rnacentral:rRNA from 1 species